rnacentral:rRNA from 1 species
CCUACGGGUGGCAGCAGUGGGGAAUAUUGGACAAUGGGGGCAACCCUGAUCCAGCCAUGCCGCGUGUGUGAAGAAGGCCCUCGGGUUGUAAAGCACUUUCAGUGAGGAAGAACGCCUGGUGGUUAAUACCCAUCAGGAAAGACAUCACUCACAGAAGAAGCACCGGCUAACUCCGUGCCAGCAGCCGCGGUAAUACGGAGGGUGCGAGCGUUAAUCGGAAUUACUGGGCGUAAAGCGCGCGUAGGUGGCUUGAUAAGCCGGUUGUGAAAGCCCCGGGCUCAACCUGGGAACGGCAUCCGGAACUGUCAAGCUAGAGUGCAGGAGAGGAAGGCAGAAUUCGCGGUGUAGCGGUGAAAUGCGUAGAGAUCAGGAGGAAUACCAGUGGCGAAGGCGGCCUUCUGGACUGACACUGACACUGAGGUGCGAAAGCGUGGGUAGCAAACAGGAUUAGAUACCCUAGUAGUC